UACGGAGGGUGCAAGCGUUAUCCGGAUUCACUGGGCGUAAAGGGCGCGUAGGCGGAUCUUUUAAGUCGGGGGUGAAAGCCUGAGGCUCAACCUCAGAAUUGCCUUCGAUACUGGAGAUCUUGAGACCGGAAGAGGUGAGUGGAACUGCGAGUGUAGAGGUGAAAUUCGUAGAUAUUCGCAAGAACACCAGUGGCGAAGGCGGCUCACUGGCCCGGUACUGACGCUGAGGUGCGAAAGCGUGGGGAGCAAACAGG
rnacentral:rRNA from 1 species